UAGAUAAUGCCAAUUCAUCUAACGUGCACAUCUUUGGGAUCUGGGAGGAAACUGGAGUACCUGGAGAAGACUCACACAGACAUGGAGAGAAUGUGCAGACUUCACACAGACAGUGGUGCUAGUGGGAAUCAGUUUUUUUUCUCGGGAAAGAGCUUUGGACGCAAUUUGUUUCUUUUAAAAAGCUAAAGGAUGUUUGUUUCUAAUUAAUGGUAUAUGUACAAUCUGGAGUUUCUUGUUUCUUUCUUUUAAAUUUCAUUUUCUGUCUUUUAUUGUUCUGAAGGAGUUCCUUAACCUCCAGGAUGAAAAUCAGCAGUUGAAAAAAAUAUAUCAUGAACAAGAGCAAGCUCUUCAAGAACUCGGCAACAAGCUUAGCGAGUAAUUUCUUUUUUCCUUCAACUAAGUAGUCAUUAUUGACUUUUAUAAAAGGUAUAAGUGUGCCAAAUCUAUUAGGCAGAAAAGUUUAAAUAUAGGAAAGAUAUGAACUAGGCUGGGCGCGGUGGCUCACGCCUGUAAUCCCAGCACUUUGUAAUUCCUGGCCCAGGCGGGU
rnacentral:lncRNA from 1 species